rnacentral:snRNA from 1 species
AUACCUUUCUCGGCCUUUUGGCUAAGAUCAAGUGUAGUAUCUGUUCUUAUCAGUUUAAUAUCUGAUAUGUGGAUCAUUGAUUCACACGAUAUUAACUUAAUUUUUUAAGGGGAAAAGCCCAUUAAGGUAGCUUGCUACCUGGGCUUUUACGCGUCGUCCAUGCGUUGCACUACUGCUCGGGCCUGGCGCACCCCAC